AUGAAUCAGUUAUUCCAACCGUUGUUAAGGAAGUGCGUUCUAGUUUUCUUUGACGACAUACUAGUUUAUAGCCCUUCAUGGCAAUCACAUUUACAACAUGUAGAAACUGUGUUUCAGAUAUUAAGUCAGAAUGUGUUGUACGUGAAACUUUCUAAAUGUUCAUUUGGUUUAUCAGAAGUGGAGUAUCCGAGUCACAUAGUUUCUGGUGUUGGUGUCUCAAUGGAUAGAACAAAAGUUCAAGCAGUGUUAGAGUGGCAUACUCCAACGACUUUGAAACAAUUAAGAGGAUUUCUUGGGCUUAUCGAAUAUUAUAGAAGAUUUAUCAAGUUCUAUGCGACCAUAGUCGGUCCUCUCACCAUUAUUUUGAAGAAAGAUGCUUUUAAGUGGGAUGAAAAUACUCAAACAACUUUCGAGCAGUUAAAAAUGGCGAUCACUUCAGCACCUCUU